AUCCCAUGAUGAGGACACUCGAGUAUGUAGUCUUGAAAGCGCUCUCAAGCUUCUGGGACUGUCUCAUCAUGUUGUUGCCAAAAACUUGAUAUCUUUCCAUAAAGAGCAU
rfam:Sorghum bicolor cultivar BTx623 chromosome 9, whole genome shotgun sequence.